rnacentral:misc_RNA from 1 species
UUUCCGUAGGUGAACCUGCGGAAGGAUCAUUCAUAAUAAAGUGUUUUAUGGCACUUUUUAAAAAUCCAUAUCCACCUGUGUGCAAUGUUAGAUCUCGUCAAUCUUGGCGAGAUUUUUAUACAUCAACUCAUUCUUUAACUAAUUUGUCUGAAAAAUAUUAUGAAUACUUAAUUCAAAAUACAACUUUCAACAACGGAUCUCUUGGCUCUC